CAUAACACUUUGAAAAAGCGGUUGCCGUACGAUCACCGAAGUUAAGCAACGUCGAUCCUGAUCAGUACUUAGAUGGGUGAUCACUUGGGAAUACCAGGUGCUAUA